rnacentral:rRNA from 1 species
CCUUAGCGCGGUGGUCCCACCUGACCCCAUGCCGAACUCAGAAGUGAAACGCCGUAGCGCCGAUGGUAGUGUGGGGUCUCCCCAUGCGAGAGUAGGGAACUGCCA